rnacentral:tRNA from 1 species
CGCGCGUUGGAGCAGUUUGGUAGCUCGCCAGGUUCAUAACCUGGAGGUCAUCGGUUCAAAUCCGAUACGCGCCA